UACAGAGGUCUCAAGCGUUGUUCGGAUUCAUUGGGCGUAAAGGGUGCGUAGGCGGCGCGGUAAGUCGGGUGUGAAAUUUCGAGGCUUAACUUCGAAACUGCAUUCGAUACUGCCGUGCUUUGAGGACUGGAGAGGAGACUGGAAUUCAUGGUGUAGCAGUGAAAUGCGUAGAGAUCAUGAGGAAGACCAGUGGCGAAGGCGGGUCUCUGGACAGUUCCUGACACUGAGGCACGAAGGCCAGGGGAGCAAAACGGGAUUAGAAACCCCCA
rnacentral:rRNA from 1 species